AAAACUAGCCAGUCCCUUGGGUAUGAAACCCAUUUGAGCGAGAGUAGUACUAGGAUGGGUGAUCUCUUGGGAAGUCCUCGUGAAAGGGUUUC
rnacentral:rRNA from 1 species